GUUAGGAUAUCUGAAUCUGUCCCAAUUUGGACAGUAGAGCCUUUCUCAUGUUUUCUGACCUUGAUAUAUAUUAAACUAACCUGGGAUGUUCAUAAAUAAAUUGUAGAGAAUUCUAUUAGCUUUCUAAAAAGUCUAGGAUCACCUGAUUUGGAUGCCUGAAACUCCAGUUAUGAUUUUUUUAAAGUAAGUAGUCGAAUUCUGUCCAAAUCUGAAUAGAAUUUACGUCUAGCAUUGUUUGACCAUUCUAAAUGUCAAGUCUCACUGUGAUGAUAAUACAAAAGUUGUAGAGGACUUCUUAUGCUUUCUAGAAAGUCUUAGUUCACGAUUUUUGGAUGAAUAUUUUGUAAGUUAUGAGCAAAACCGCUGACUGCUGUACUGCUGUCCAAAAUAUUUUGUGGCCAUAUGAAGCGUUUUUGGCUAUGUGUUCUUAUGAGAUGAUUUUUAACUUCUGUUCUUAACUAACAGUUCAGGAACAAUGGAACCAAAAUACAUGACAUUUUCCUACUUCACGUCUGGAUGCCAUCCAAUUAAUAUCUUCUCUGCGAUAUUGCAAUGGAAGGUCAAUAUGUGAUAGAUGACUAGAAGAAAAUUAUAAAAGGAUGUUGAAUAAGAUUGUGCUUAUUUUCUCGUGACGAAGGUUUUUUCUAUGCUUAGGGACUGCUCUUAUGUGUUAUUGGUGCUAUUCCGCUUGUACAGCCAAUGAAAUAGGUCCUACUACACAAGGUACGUACAC